AGAGUUUGAUCCUGGCUCAGAACGAACGUUGGCGGCGUGGAUUAGGCAUGCAAGUCGUACGAAUCCCAGCGGGCUUGCUCGCUGGGGGAAGUGGCGAAAGGGGCAGUAAGGCGUGGGUAACCUACCCUGGGGUCCGGCAUAGCCGUCCUAACGGACGGGUAAUACCGGGCGACGUAACUCGAUCGCCUGACCGAGUUACCAAAGGGUCACCGCCCCGGGAGGGGCCCACGUGGUAUUAGCUUGUUGGCGGGGUAACGGCCCACCAAGGCUUAGAUGCCUAGCGGGUGUGAGAGCACGACCCGCGCCACUGGCACUGAGACACUGGCCAGACUCCUACGGGAGGCUGCAGUCGAGGAUCUUCGGCAAUGGGCGCAAGCCUGACCGAGCGACGCCGCGUGCGCGAUGAAGGCCUUCGGGUUGUAAAGCGCUGUCGAGGGGGAGGAAGGCCCGCAAGGGCUUGACCUAUCCCUGGAGGAAGCACGGGCUAAGUUCGUGCCAGCAGCCGCGGUAAU
rnacentral:rRNA from 1 species